UGGAAAAGCAUGCCUCCCUCCCUUUGGCCAAAAAAACGUGGAGUAUAGGUUUCCAAGAAACUCUGUGGGAACAGAGCAGUAUUAUCAAGGUCCCUGUGGAAGAACAAGAUUCAGAUUGAAUCAAACUAAAAACGUCAUGGGAAAGAAUGGUGAUGAAAGAAAUAAACACUUUUAAGUUCUGCUGUCUGGACCUCAGGCACCCCAGAUAAAAUUCCUAAGUUUUGUUAUGGAUAACAUCAUCCCAUGCUGACCAAAAAAUCAUUAUAGUAAAAAUAAAAUAAAAAUAAUUUUAAAAAAUAA